GACGAACGCUGGCGGCGUGCUUAACACAUGCAAGUCGAACGGAAAGGCCCUGCGUUUGUGGGGUGCUCGAGUGGCGAACGGGUGAGUAACACGUGAGUAACCUGCCCUUGACUUUGGGAUAACUUCAGGAAACUGGGGCUAAUACCGGAUAGGAGCUCCUGUUGCAGGGUGGGGGGUGGAAAGUCUCGGCGGUUGGGGAUGGACUCGCGGCUUAUCAGCUUGUUGGUGGGGUAGUGGCUUACCAAGGCUUUGACGGGUAGCCGGCCUGAGAGGGUGACCGGCCACAUUGGGACUGAGAUACGGCCCAGACUCCUACGGGAGGCAGCAGUGGGGAAUAUUGCACAAUGGGCGGAAGCCUGAUGCAGCAACGCCGCGUGCGGGAUGACGGCCUUCGGGUUGUAAACCGCUUUCGCCUGUGACGAAGCGUGAGUGACGGUAAUGGGUAAAGAAGCACCGGCUAACUACGUG
rnacentral:rRNA from 1 species